UUUCCGGUUGAUCCUGCCGGACCCGACCGCUAUCGGGGUAGGGCUAAGCCAUGGGAGUCUACACUCCCGGGAAGGGAGUGUGGCGGACGGCUGAGUAACACGUGGCCAAACUACCCUAUGGAUCGGAAUAACCUCGGGAAACUGAGGCUAAUACCGAAUACCGCUCUCACCCUGGAACUGGGGAGAGCACGAAACGCUCCGGCGCCAUAGGAUGUGGCUGCGGCCGAUUAGGUAGACGGUGGGGUAACGGCCCACCGUGCCGAUAAUCGGUACGGGUUGUGAGAGCAAGAGCCCGGAGACGGUAUCUGAGACAAGAUACCGGGCCCUACGGGGCGCAGCAGGCGCGAAACCUUUACACUGCACGAACGUGCGAUAAGGGGACUCCAAGUGCGAGGGCAUAUAGUCCUCGCUUUUCCCUACCGUAAGGUGGUAGGAGAAUAAGAGCUGGGCAAGACCGGUGCCAGCCGCCGCGGUAAUACCGGCAGCUCGAGUGAUGGCCAAUAUUAUUGGGCCUAAAGCGUCCGUAGCUGGCCGAACAGGUCUGUCGGGAAAUCCGCCCGCUCAACGGGCGGACGUCCGGCGGAAACCAGUCGGCUUGGGACCGGAAGACCCGAGGGGUACGUCUAGGGUAGGAGUGAAAUCCUGUAAUCCUGGACGGACCACCGGUGGCGAAAGCGCCUCGGGAGGACGGAUCCGACAGUGAGGGACGAAAGCUUGGGUCACGAACCGGAUUAGAUACCCGGGUAGUCCAAGCUGUAAACGAUGCUCGCUAGGUGUGGCACUGGCUACGAGCCAGUGCUGUGCCGUAGGGAAGCCGAGAAGCGAGCCGCCUGGGAAGUACGUCCGCAAGGAUGAAACUUAAAGGAAUUGGCGGGGGAGCACUACAACCGGAGGAGCCUGCGGUUUAAUUGGAUUCAACGCCGGG
rnacentral:rRNA from 1 species